CGUGAGACGCUGCGGCGUGCUUACACAUGCAAGUCGAACGAUGAUCUCCAGCUUGCUGGGGGGAUUAGUGGCGAACGGGUGAGUAACACGUGAGUAACCUGCCCUUGACUCUGGGAUAAGCCUGGGAAACUGGGUCUAAUACCGGAUACGACCGUCCCGCGCAUGCGGUGGUGGUGGAAAGCUUUUGCGGUUUUGGAUGGACUCGCGGCCUAUCAGCUUGUUGGUGGGGUAAUGGCCUACCAAGGCGACGACGGGUAGCCGGCCUGAGAGGGUGACCGGCCACACUGGGACUGAGACACGGCCCAGACUCCUACGGGAGGCAGCAGUGGGGAAUAUUGCACAAUGGGCGAAAGCCUGAUGCAGCGACGCCGCGUGAGGGAUGACGGCCUUCGGGUUGUAAACCUCUUUCAGUAGGGAAGAAGCGAAAGUGACGGUACCUGCAGAAGAAGCGCCGGCUAACUACGUGCCAGCAGCCGCGGUAAUACGUAGGGCGCAAGCGUUAUCCGGAAUUAUUGGGCGUAAAGAGCUCGUAGGCGGUUUGUCGCGUCUGCUGUGAAAGACCGGGGCUCAACUCCGGUUCUGCAGUGGGUACGGGCAGACUAGAGUGAUGUAGGGGAGACUGGAAUUCCUGGUGUAGCGGUGAAAUGCGCAGAUAUCAGGAGGAACACCGAUGGCGAAGGCAGGUCUCUGGGCAUUAACUGACGCUGAGGAGCGAAAGCAUGGGGAGCGAACAGGAUUAGAUACCCUGGUAGUCCAUGCCGUAAACGUUGGGCACUAGGUGUGGGGGACAUUCCACGUUUUCCGCGCCGUAGCUAACGCAUUAAGUGCCCCGCCUGGAG
rnacentral:rRNA from 1 species